rnacentral:ncRNA from 1 species
GAGUUUGAUCCUGGCUCAGGACGAACGCUGGCGGCGUGCUUAACACAUGCAAGUCGAACGAUGAACCCGCUUCGGUGGGGGAUUAGUGGCGAACGGGUGAGUAACACGUGGGCAAUCUGCCCUGCACUCUGGGACAAGCCCUGGAAACGGGGUCUAAUACCGGAUACCACCCGGGGGCGCAUGCCCUUGGGUUGAAAGCUCCGGCGGUGCAGGAUGAGCCCGCGGCCUAUCAGCUUGUUGGUGGGGUGAUGGCCUACCAAGGCGACGACGGGUAGCCGGCCUGAGAGGGCGACCGGCCACACUGGGACUGAGACACGGCCCAGACUCCUACGGGAGGCAGCAGUGGGGAAUAUUGCACAAUGGGCGAAAGCCUGAUGCAGCGACGCCGCGUGAGGGAUGACGGCCUUCGGGUUGUAAACCUCUUUCAGCAGGGAAGAAGCGAGAGUGACGGUACCUGCAGAAGAAGCGCCGGCUAACUACGUGCCAGCAGCCGCGGUAAUACGUAGGGCGCAAGCGUUGUCC